rnacentral:rRNA from 1 species
UACGGAGGGGGCAAGCGUUGUUCGGAGGCACUGGGCGUAAAGGGCGCGUAGGCGGUGCGUAAAGGCAGGCGUGAAAGCCCCGGGCUUAACCUGGGAACUGCAUUCGAGACUGCAUUGCUAGAGUAUGGGAGAGGGAAGUGGAAUUUCCGGUGUAGCGGUGAAAUGCGUAGAUAUCGGAAGGAACAUCAGUGGCGAAAGCGACUUCCUGGACCAAUACUGACGCUCAUGUGCGAAAGCGUGGGGAGCAAACAGG